GGAGGGCGGGCAGGACGGUAAUGCAGCGGAUUGCUAAUCCGUACACCGGGUCAAACCGGUGACUGGGUUCGACUCCCAGGCCCUCCG
rnacentral:tRNA from 1 species